UACGUAGGGUGCGAGCGUUAAUCGGAAUUACUGGGCGUAAAGCGUGCGCAGGCGGUUCGUUGUGUCCGUCGUGAAAGCCCCGGGCUCAACCUGGGAAUGGCGAUGGAUACUGGCUCGCUAGAGUGCGGUAGAGGGUGGUGGAAUUCCCGGUGUAGCAGUGAAAUGCGUAGAGAUCGGGAGGAACAUCAGUUGCGAAGGCGGCCACCUGGACCAGCACUGACACUGAGGCACGAAAGCGUGGGGAGCAAACAGG
rnacentral:rRNA from 1 species